GGCCUAAUGGUCUAGAAGUAUGAUACUCGCUUUGGGUGUUCACUGAUUGCGAGUGGUCCUGGGUUCAAUUCCCAGUUAGGCCC